UACAGAGGUCUCGAGCGUUAGGCGGAAUCACUGGGCUUAAAGCGUGUGUAGGUGGAUCGUUAAGUACCUUGUGAAAUCCCACGGCUUAACCGUGGAACUGCUUGGUAUACUGGGCGGUCUUGAGCCAGCUAGGGGCUACCGGAACAAAUGGUGGAGCGGUGAAAUGCGUAGAUAUCAAUUUGGAACGCCAAUGGGUGAAAACAGGUAGCUGGGGCUGUGCUGAC
rnacentral:rRNA from 1 species